GAUGAACGCUAGCUACAGGCUUAACACAUGCAAGUCGAGGGGAAACGACAUCGAAAGCUUGCUUUUGAUGGGCGUCGACCGGCGCACGGGUGAGUAACGCGUAUCCAACCUGCCCAUCACUUGGGAAUAACCUUGCGAAAGUAAGACUAACACCCAAUGACAUCCCACGAAGACAUCUGAAUGGGAUUAAAGAUUUAUCGGUGAUGGAUGGGGAUGCGUCUGAUUAGCUUGUUGGCGGGGUAACGGCCCACCAAGGCAACGAUCAGUAGGGGUUCUGAGAGGAAGGUCCCCCACAUUGGAACUGAGACACGGUCCAAACUCCUACGGGAGGCAGCAGUGAGGAAUAUUGGUCAAUGGGCGAGAGCCUGAACCAGCCAAGUAGCGUGCAGGAUGACGGCCCUAUGGGUUGUAAACUGCUUUUAUAAGGGAAUAAAGUGGGUCUCGUGAGACUUUUUGCAUGUACCUUAUGAAUAAGGACCGGCUAAUUCCGUG
rnacentral:rRNA from 1 species